CUGAAUUCUGGAAUCACAAACCAAGCCAUGCUGGUGGGCCAUUAAUGGCUGAGACCAGACAAAGCCCGGGAGGCAGAAAGAUGCUCCAAGAACCAACACUAUCAAUGUCUUUGCAAAUCCUCACAGGAUUCCUGUGGGUCCAGCUUUGGAACUGGGAAACCUUUCUUCGGAUCCGCACUCAUUCCACUGAUGCCAGCUGCCCCUGAAGGAUGCCAGUACUGUGGUGUGUGAGUCUCAGCAGCCGCCCACACGCUCCUAACUCUGCUGCAUGGCAGAUGCCUAGGUGGAAAUAGCAAAAACAAGGCCCAGGCUGGGGCCAGGGCCAGAGGGGAAGGCCCUGGAUUCUCACUCAUGUGAGAUCUUGAAUCUCUUUCUUUGUUCUGUUUGUUUAGUUAGUAUCAUCUGGUAAAAUAGUUAAAAAACAACAAAAAACUCUGUAUCUGUUUCUAGCAUGUGCUGCAUUGACUCUAUUAAUCACAUUUCAAAUUCACCCUACAUUCCUCUCCUCUUCACUAGCCUCUCUGAAGGUGUCCUGGCCAGCCCUGGAGAAGCACUGGUGUCUGCAGCACCCCUCAGUUCCUGUGCCUCAGCCCACAGGCCACUGUGAUAAUGGUCUGUUUAGCACUUCUGUAUUUAUUGUAAGAAUGAUUAUAAUGAAGAUACACACUGUAACUACAAGAAAUUAUAAAUGUUUUUCACAUC
rnacentral:lncRNA from 1 species